AACGUAGGAGACAAACGUUAUCCGGAGUUACUGGGCGUAAAGGGCGUGUAGGUGGUAUCGUAAGUCUGGCGUGAAAUUUCUCGGCUUAACCGAGGCAGGUCGUCGGAUACUGCGAGGCUAGAGGACGGUAGAGGCGUGUGGAAUUCCGGGUGUAGUGGUGAAAUGCGCAGAUAUCAGGAGGAACACCGGUGGCGAAGGCGGGUCUCUGGGCCGAUACUGACGCUGAGGAGCGAAAGCGUGGGGAGCGAACAGG
rnacentral:rRNA from 1 species